rnacentral:rRNA from 1 species
CAGGUCAGCAUACUGCCGUGAAUACGUUCCCGGGCCUUGUACACACCGCCCGUCACACCAUGAGAGUUGGGGAUACCCGAAGCCUGUGAGCUAACUAUUUAUAGGAGCAGCAGUCGAAGGUAGAAUCAAUGAUUGGGGUGAAGUCGUAACAAGGUAUC